AAGUCGUAACAAGGUUUCCGUAGGUGAACCUGCGGAAGGAUCAUUAAAGGAGAAAGAAAAACCACAAAGUGCAAGACAGUACAAUAAAAUAAAGAGUUGGAAAAAAAUAAUAGAGACAACUUUUAGCAACGGAUCUCUAGGUUCUC
rnacentral:misc_RNA from 1 species